rnacentral:tRNA from 1 species
UUAGCUCAGUUGGUUAGAGCAUGGUGCUAAUAACACCACAUGGCGGGUUUGAUCCCUGUA